GCCAUCAUUAAGUUGGGCAACUCUAAAGAGACUGCCGGUGUCAAACCGGAGGAAGGUGGGGAUGACGUCAAGUCCUCAUGGCCUUUAUGACCAGGGCUACACACGUACUACAAUGGCCGGUACAAGGGCAGCGACACAGCGAUGUGAAAGCCAAUCCCGAAAAGCCGGUCUCAGUCCGGAUUGGAGUCUGCAACUCGACUCCAUGAAGUUGGAAUCGCUAGUAAUCGUGGAUCAGCACGCCACGGUGAAUACGUUCCCGGGCCUU
rnacentral:rRNA from 1 species